rnacentral:lncRNA from 1 species
GUUUUAAUCCGGGGGUACUUUAAAUAAGGAGUUUUCGGUUCGGCUUUGAAAUUUGUUUUUUGUGUCUUUAACUCAUACUAGUAAAAACAAUGUAAAAUCAAUGAGAAAACUAAUAAGUGACUUUUUUAAAAACAAUAUAUUCUUAAUUUACAUGGUUUAAGAGAUCCAUUGCUGCAUAUCUAUUUUUUUGUGCUAUUUAAUAAUUUUAUUUGCUUUUUACAAUUAAUUUACUUUUUCAAAAAAUAGUAUUUAAUAAUAUAGGUUUAAGAUUUGUUGAUGUUUAAUGGGUACAAGAGCCUCAUGGACCAAACUGCACCAGACACUGGGUAAAGAAUAACAAAUAUAUUCUGAACAAAAGAUAUAUAAAACUAAGCAAAGUAACAAAUAAAUGUAAAAGCUAACAAAAUAUAAUGUAAAAAUGGUGUAAACAGGCAAUAGUAACAUUUUAAACAUAAAAUGUCGAAAACAGAUAAAAUUCAUACAUAAAAUGGUUUAUACUGCCAUAUAUCAAAUAAAAACAAGUAACAAGGUAAAAUAAUUAUUAAAUAAGAUGUUACAGAAAUAUCUGAUAAAAAGGCAAAAAGGCCCGAAGAGUUAAAAUCCUUGCCAAUAAGGCCUGAAAGGUUAAAACAAGACUGGUUAAAAUACCAUAAAUGCUUAAUAGUAAAAUAAGAACACUCAGUUAAAAUGUUCUUGAUGGUAAGAGCACACAGUGACACAGGUAAUGAAAAUGUUGAGCUUCACCCAUUAAAAGUUUUAAUGGUCUUAAAUUUUCAUUUCUAUAAUUUUUAUUUAGCCACUGUGUUUAUCAAUAUAUAUACAUUAAACACAACACACAUAUUUUGUGUAUAUAUAUAUAUAUACACACAUACACAAAAUAUAAGCAUUGUCUUGUCUUACAUGAUAUUAUUUGGAAUCAGUUAAAUUAAAAUCUUGUAAGUAUAAUUAAGAGAUCUAUUAUAUAGCAAAC